rnacentral:tRNA from 1 species
GCGCCCGUAGUGAAAAGGAAAUCACGAGGGUCUCCGGAACCCUAAGUACAGGUUCGAUUCCUGUCGGGCGCGCCA